GCCAGGGCGGUGGCGUGUGCCUGUAGUCCCAGCUACUCCGGAUGCUGAGGUGGGAGGAUCGCUUGAGCCCAGGAGUUCUGGGCUAUAGUGCGCUGUGCCGAUCGGGCAUCUGCACUAAGUUCGGCAUCAAUAAGUUGACCUCUCGGGAGCAGGGGACAACCAGGUUGCCUAAGGAGGGGUGAACCAGCCCGGAUUGGAAACAGAGCAGGUCAAAACUCCCGUGCUGAUCAGUAGUGGGAUCGCACCUGUGAAUAGCCACUGCACUCCAGCCUGGGCAACAUAGCAAGACGCAGUCUCUU
ensembl:misc_RNA Metazoa_SRP Metazoan signal recognition particle RNA